rnacentral:ncRNA from 2 species
UUCGCGGCCGGCGAUGAAGCUCCGCCUUCGUUUGCGCCGUCAGGCGCUGAUGGCUUCUACCCCGUA